rnacentral:rRNA from 1 species
CAGUCGACGAGUUCUUGUUGAUGAUCGGUGCUUGCACCAAGAUUCAACAUGCCCCUAGUGGCGGACGGGUGAGUAACACGUGGGUAACCUGCCCCCAAGUGGGGGAUAACAUUUGGAAACAGAUGCUAAUACCGCAUAGAUCCAAGAACCGCAUGGUUCUUGGCUGAAAGAUGGCGUAAGCUAUCGCUUUUGGAUGGACCCGCGGCGUAUUAGCUAGUUGGUGAGGUAAUGGCUCACCAAGGCGAUGAUACGUAGCCGAACUGAGAGGUUGAUCGGCCACAUUGGGACUGAGAUACGGCCCAAACUCCUACGGGAGGCAGCAGUAGGGAAUCUUCCACAAUGGACGCAAGUCUGAUGGAGCAACGCCGCGUGAGUGAAGAAGGCUUUCGGGUCGUAAAACUCUGUUGUUGGAGAAGAAUGGUCGGCAGAGUAACUGUUGUCGGCGUGACGGUAUCCAACCAGAAAGCCACGGCUAACUACGUGCCAGCAGCCGCGGUAAUACGUAGGUGGCAAGCGUUAUCCGGAUUUAUUGGGCGUAAAGCGAGCGCAGGCGGUUUUUUAAGUCUGAUGUGAAAGCCCUCGGCUUAACCGAGGAAGCGCAUCGGAAACUGGGAAACUUGAGUGCAGAAGAGGACAGUGGAACUCCAUGUGUAGCGGUGAAAUGCGUAGAUAUAUGGAAGAACACCAGUGGCGAAGGCGGCUGUCUGGUCUGUAACUGACGCUGAGGCUCGAAAGCAUGGGUAGCGAACAGGAUUAGAUACCCUGGUAGUCCAUGCCGUAAACGAUGAAUGCUAGGUGUUG